rnacentral:rRNA from 1 species
AUACGUAGGGGGCGAGCGUUGUCCGGAAUGAUUGGGCGUAAAGGGCGCGUAGGCGGCGCGGUAAGUCUGGAGUGAAAGUCCUGCUUUCAAGGUGGGAAUUGCUUUGGAUACUGCCGCGCUUGAGUGCAGGAGAGGUUAUCGGAAUUCCCGGUGUAGCGGUGAAAUGCGUAGAGAUCGGGAGGAACACCAGUGGCGAAGGCGGAUAACUGGACUGCAACUGACGCUGAGGCGCGAAAGUGUGGGGAGCAAACAGGAUUAGAUACCCUGGUAGUCCAAACUGUAAACGAUGAAUGCUAGGUGUAAGAGGUAUCGACCCCUUUUGUGCCGGAGUCAACACAAUAAGCAUUCAGCCUGGGGAGUACGGCCUCAAGGUUGAAACUCAAAUGAAUUGACGGGU